UCUGAUGAAGCCGUUUGAAUUUUAAUUUGAAUGAUUGGUCAAUAUGGCUGUCAUCCAGGAAACAGGCCAAUGAGCACUGAGCGCGCCUUCAUUUGAAAGUAGUUUCGUCAGUUUGAAUGCUGCAGGACUUCAGCGCUACUCUGUCGCUUCACUCCUAAUGAAUUACGUUUACAUCUGCAUGCCAAAUUAUUAUUUGAGUGAAUAUGAGUUGUGGGAUUUCAACAGAGAACAAAAAUGGGAACAUGGACACAGUGGAAGAGUCUGGAUCUGUUUGCUCUCCUAGCAUGAACUUCAUGUUAUAACGUUAUCCUGGCGAUAUCGGAGAGAUGCUCAUCAAGGCAAGGUGAUGAUUGCCAGAGGGAAAAACAUUUUGGAAAAGUCUCCUGCCACAAGGUCUUAGGAGCCAGAGCAGAUCCAGACGAUUACAGCUCAUUUGGAAGAAGUCUGAUCUUUCUGCUGUGUUGCACCUCUGUUACAGAUUAAUUGACCUUUUGUGGUAUGUUUUAAUUUUAGGAUUCUUAAAUGUUAUCAGAACUACCUUAUACAGAGCCCCCAAGGGUUAGGAAAAUGAAGAAGACCACAACUCCCUCAGCUCAACAGCACAAUUUGUUGCUUCCUCCAUCCAUUUCAAAGGGGAAAUCUUGACCUCAUUUUGAUAGAAAUGCUCACAGACACACAUUACACAUGGAGAAGUACCAUUUUUAGUUUUUCAGUUCCUCCCGGGGGGCUCUAAAGAACUGUUUG